AGAAGGUUGGCAGAUUUGUAAUGCAGUUAGCUUGAAACUAAAGAGAUGCAGGUUUAACUCCUGUACCUUCUU
rnacentral:tRNA from 1 species